UACGUAGGGUGCAAGCGUUGUCCGGAAUUAUUGGGCGUAAAGAGCUCGUAGGCGGUCUGUCGCGUCGGCUGUGAAAACCCGAGGCUCAACCUCGGGCCUGCAGUCGAUACGGGCAAACUAGAGUACUGCAGGGGAGACUGGAAUUCCUGGUGUAGCGGUGAAAAUGCGCAGAUAUCAGGAGGAACACCCGGUGGCGAAGGCGACUAUCUGGUCUG
rnacentral:rRNA from 1 species